AGAUGGAGGCCAAAAUAUCAUCAUCAUUAACAAUAAUAAUACUAAGGGGUGCCUGGUGGAUUAGUCGAUUGAGCUUCUGACUCUUGAUUUUGGCUCAGGUCGUGAUCUCCGUUUGUGAGGUGGAGCCCCACAUCAGGCUCUGUGCUGGUGGCAUGGAGCCUACUUGGGAUUCUUUCUCUCCCUCUCUCUCUGCUCCUCCCCCACUCACACAUGCACAAAUACACAUUCUCUCUCUCUCUCAAAAUAAAUACAAUUUAAAAUAAUAAUAACAACAACAAUGAUAGUAAUAGAGGUUCCCGGGUGGCUCAGUCAGUUAAGUGUCCGACUUUGGCUCAGGUUAUGACCUCACGGUUCAUGGGUUCAUGCCCCUCAUCAGGCUCUGUGUUGACAGCUCAGAGCCUGGAGCCUGCUUGGGAUUCUGUGUCUCCCUCUCUCUCUGCCCCUCCCCUGCUCGUGCUCUCUCUCUGUCUCAAAAAUAAAUAAAAACAUUAAAAAAAAUUAAAAAAAAAAGAAAAGAAAAGCAGUCAUGGAUUCAGGCCAGAAACCCAAGUCAGGAAAAACAAAAGUGUGCUGGGAAGAACAUUUCCUCUAUCAUUUCCCUCUGGAACUAGGCGGCUGGACACAGAAAAAUUCCCCAAGAAGAGGAAUAUGCUUCAUGUCUCAGUCUCUGGAAACAGCAUUUGCAUAUUCAGCCUCUCCUGAGGAGCUGAACACACAGGAAACACUGAGAAAUGUUGCUGCUUUCAGAAGCAUCAAGAUGUAACUCCAAACAAAAGCUUUGUGCCCUGCAACUAGCUGUCCUUCUUCAUCUGGUGAGCAGCAUUCGUGGGUUCUCAAUCCCAUCUCUAGAAAACUAGUUGUCCCCGGUAGAGAAGCCGCAAACUCUCCAGGACCUCCAGGACCUCUGUCUCCAGGGACUCGGAGUCAAUGGCUGCCCUCCAGCACUGACACUGGACUGUCACUCCCUUUUUCUCCAUUCCUUUUUCUUUUAAAUCGAGUGCAGGGGUCACAAGGAACGGCUUCUGGGAGGAUAGACAGAACAGUUUCGCUCAACACAAUGUAAACGUUUUAUGGGAAAUAUUUGCUGUUUCAUGUAUAAUUGAAUAAAAACGUAACGAAUGUCUUUAUUAGUGUAACU
rnacentral:lncRNA from 1 species